rnacentral:rRNA from 1 species
ACGACGCUGCGGCGUGCCUAAUACAUGCAAGUAGAACGCUGAAGAGAGGAGCUUGCUCUUCUUGGAUGAGUUGCGAACGGGUGAGUAACGCGUAGGUAACCUGCCUUGUAGCGGGGAUAACUAUUGGAAACGAUAGCUAAUACCGCAUAACAAUGGAUGACACAUGUCAUUUAUUUGAAAGGGGCAAUUGCUCCACUACAAGAUGGACCUGCGUUGUAUUAGCUAGUAGGUGAGGUAAUGGCUCACCUAGGCGACGAUACAUAGCCGACCUGAGAGGGUGAUCGGCCACACUGGGACUGAGACACGGCCCAGACUCCUACGGGAGGCAACAGUAGGGAAUCUUCGGCAAUGGGGGCAACCCUGACCGAGCAACGCCGCGUGAGUGAAGAAGGUUUUCGGAUCGUAAAGCUCUGUUGUAAGUCAAGAACGGGUGUGAGAGUGGAAAGUUCACACUGUGACGGUAGCUUACCAGAAAGGGACGGCUAACUACGUG